rnacentral:rRNA from 1 species
UACGGGGGGGGCAAGCGUUGUUCGGAAUUACUGGGCGUAAAGGGCUCGUAGGCGGCCAACUAAGUCGGAUGUGAAAUCCCCAGGCUUAACCUGGGAAUUGCAUCCGAUACUGGAUGGCUUGAAUCCGGGAGAGGGAUGCGGAAUUCCAGGUGUAGCGGUGAAAUGCGUAGAUAUCUGGAGGAACACCGGUGGCGAAGGCGGCAUCCUGGACCGGCAUUGACGCUGAGGAGCGAAAGCCAGGGGAGCAAACAGG